UACGGAGGGAGCAAGCGUUGUUCGGAAUUACUGGGCGUAAAGGGCGCGUAGGCGGUCUUAUAAGUUAGGCGUGAAAGCCCUGGGCUUAACCUAGGAAUUGCGCUUAAGACUGUAGGACUAGAGUACGAGAGAGGAAAGUGGAAUUUCCAGUGUAGAGGUGAAAUUCGUAGAUAUUGGAAAGAACACCAGUGGCGAAGGCGACUUUCUGGCUCGUAACUGACGCUGAGGCGCGAAAGCGUGGGGAGCAAACAGG
rnacentral:rRNA from 1 species